CCCGGACCCGCCUGGCUGAGGGUCGGCCGA
rnacentral:rRNA from 1 species